rfam:Prevotella buccae ATCC 33574 genomic scaffold SCAFFOLD1, whole genome shotgun sequence.
GGGCUUGACUGGAUUUGACGGCGAGACGAAAUGGUAUGUAAGCAUGCGGAGCCUCGUUGGCUAUCUCCUUAAACAGAGUGAACAAAAAUUUAAUUGGCGAAAACAAUUACGCUCUCGCUGCCUAGUCGAAGUAUAGUAGACUAUUGGCUUUAUUCCGUCACCAGGUGAUGGAACGAGACACUGCUCCAAAGAUGUUGUUCCGAAUCAGAGGGUCAAGCGGUGCAGGUAAAUCGGAAAUAGCUUGGGUAUGCCUCGCUGCCCGAGUGAAAUUUAGAGGAUAAGGCAUCAGUUGGUGGUCCGGGUCUUGCUGAUGUUCGAAAAUCAAAGGCCGGAAUAAGCAUGUAGAAAGCGUAUGAUUUCCUUGUGCGGACGUGGGUUCGACUCCCACCAGGUCCACGA